AUUGAACGCUGGCGGCAGGCCUAACACAUGCAAGUCGAACGGUAACAGGAAGAAGCUUGCUUCUUUGCUGACGAGUGGCGGACGGGUGAGUAAUGUCUGGGAAACUGCCUGAUGGAGGGGGAUAACUACUGGAAACGGUAGCUAAUACCGCAUAACGUCGCAAGACCAAAGAGGGGGACCUUCGGGCCUCUUGCCAUCGGAUGUGCCCAGAUGGGAUUAUCUAGUAGGUGGGGUAACGGCUCACCUAGGCGACGAUCCCUAGCUGGUCUGAGAGGAUGACCAGCCACACUGGAACUGAGACAAGGUCCAGACUCCUAAGGGAGGCAGCCGUGGGGAAUAUUGCAGAAUGGGCGCAAGCCUGAUGCAGCCAUGCCGCGUGUAUGAAGAAGGCCUUCGGGUUGUAAAGUACUUUCAGCGGGGAGGAAGGGAGUAAAGUUAAUACCUUGGCUCAUUGACGUUACCCGCAGAAGAAGCACCGGCUAACUCCGUG
rnacentral:rRNA from 1 species